rnacentral:lncRNA from 1 species
UUUAAUCUAAGGAUAAAGUAACACCAACAGUCACUCAACUAGAUCUCAGUCACCACUAAUCAUUUUUUGUUACAAACAUAACAAAUAUGUCAUUUUCAGUUACAGACAUAAUAGAGCUGCCAUUUUACAUCCUUCUGUCCCUCCCUUCUCAUCUCACUCCCCUUACCACUGUUCUCCCAUCCCUUUCCUUUUUCCCACCAUCCCUCCCCCUUACCUCGAUUCUCUCCUUCUCCCCACCGUCCCUCCCCUUACUCUGACUCUCUCUCUCUUCUCCACCAUCCCUCACCUACUCAUCUUCUCUCCCUCUCCCCCACCGUCCCUUUCUCUCUACUAACCCUCUCUUAAAUCAAUAAUCGUUUAUAGUCCCUCCCCUCUACUUUUUAAUCGUUUACAGUCUCUUCUCCAUGCUCAAUCCUAGAAAAUAAAAUUGUUUAGCAAUAAAUGAAGCCUUGAAUCCUAUUACAUUCACAAAAAAAUCCAUCAAUGUUUUAAUUCUACCCUCAAAAGCUGCCAUUAUCGAGGGAUGAUUCUUAAAAGCAUCUAAAAUCUCUUCCUCAGACCAACCACAUUUCUUAUAAACAUCAAACUUUGCCUCCCAAGUGGAUUUGCUCAUUAAACCCAAAAUAAUAACAGUUAAAAUAAAAGUAAACCUUUCAGGACUGAACCCCAUUUGCUUUACUUUCUCUACAAUCCCUUUGAAUUGAAUUGGAGAAUAAAAGAAUAUCUUAGAAACUCGACGAAAUCAUUUAACUAUGUUAAGCUCAAGCACUCCUUUUUUUCUCAAAACAUAAAAGGGUUAACUUUACCAUAAUUCUCAAAAUCUGAAGAAAUCUAUGGUUUUUCAAAUUUUCAUGUGAAAGAAAGGCCUUUUUUCUGUAGUUUUUAAAAUGGGUUUUUGUUUACUUGCGUGGCUGUGGAGGUCACUUCUAUCGUUUUUUUUCUUCCAAAUUUGUUAAAGCUAUCAUUUUGAUAAGAAAAAGAAGAAUAUGAUGAGAGAAAGAGAGAAACUUACUGGUAGUGGUGCGAGAAGAGGAAUGGAGCAAAGGCAAUUGUGGCUACCACAAUCUAGGCUUUGCUUGCUGAAACUACUCCACCACUCAUUCUUCAAAAAUAGGUCUUUGAUGGGAUUUUGCUUAGAGGUUCAAGUUGAGAUUUUUAGUUGGGAAGAAAAGGACCCAUGUUUUUGGGAGAUAAAAUCAAGAGUUAGUAGAGGGAAAAGGACAAUGAGGAAGAGGGAGAGAAUCAGAGUAGGGGGAGGGAUGAUGAGAGGAGAGGGGGAGAGAAGGAUGUAAAAUGGCAACUUCGUAAUGUCAG